CAUUUAGAAGCUUGCUAAAAAUGUAGCAAGAGGCCAGGAUUAUUUUUAGUUGGAAAAGCUUCAUUUACUUCUCACAAGAUUUAGCUCUGUGGCCUGUUGUGCUUCAAUUUCGUCAUCUUCAAAACCAGGAAGAGCUAUAUUCAUCUUAUCUCACAAAGCUGAUUAACAUAAAUGAAGGAGCCUUGGAAAAUGGAAAGCAUUAUACAAAUAAACAUAGUCUCACUCUUUUGCCCAGGCUGGUCUCAAACUCCAGGGCUCAAGCAAUCCUCUGUCCUCAACCUCCCAAAGUGCUGGGACUACAGUAGGGUAUAACCACAUGACUAAUUUCACAUAUAAAAAUGGAGAACGGGUGCACAUUAAAGAGUAGAGGUGCCUUCCACCAUGACUGUAAGUUUCCUGAGGCCUCUCCAGCCAUGUGGAACUGUGAGUCAAUUAAACCUCUAUUAUUGAUAAAUCAUCCAGUCUCAGGUAUUUCAUCAUAGCAGCAUGAGAACAGACUAAUGCAGUAAAUUGGCACCACAGAGAGUGAUGUGCUGCUAUAAGGGUACUCGAAAAUGUGGAAGUGGCUUUGGAACUGAGUAGCAGGCAGAGGUUGAAACAGUUGGGAGGACUCAGAAAAAGAAAGGAAAAUAUGGGAAAGUUUGGAACUUCCUGGAGACUUGGAGGGCUCAGAAGACAGGAAUAUGUGGGAAAAUUUGGAACUUCCUAGAGACUUGUUGAAUGGCUUUGACCAAAAUGCUGAUAGUGAUAUGGACAAUGAAGACCAGGCUGAGAUGGUCUCAGAUGGAGAUGAAGAACUUAUUGGGAAUUGGAGUAAAGGUCACUCUUGCUAUGCUUUAGCAAAGAGACUGGAGACAUUUUGCCCUAGAAAUAUGUGGAACAUUGAACUUGAGAGAGAUGGUUUAGGGUAUCUGACGGAAGGAAUUUCUAAGCAGCAAACCAUUCAAGAAGAAGCAGAGCUUAAAUGUUUGGAAAAUUUGCAGACUUAUGAUGCAAUAGAAAAGAAAAACCCAUUUUCUGGGAAGUCAAGCCUGCUGCAGAAAUUUUCAUAAAUAACAAGGAGCCAAAUUUCAAUCACCAAGACAAUGAGGAAAAUGUCAGAGACCUUCACAGCAGCCCAUCGCUUCACAGACCCAGAGGCCUAGGAGAGAAAAAGUGUUUUGUGGGCCAGGCCCAAGCGCCCCCCAACCCUGCCCCCCGGCAGCCUUGGGACAUGGUGCCCAGUAUCCCAGCUGCGUCAGCUCCAGCCGUGGUUAAAAGGAGCCAAGGUACAGCUUGGGCCAUUUCUUCAGGGGUACUAGCCCCAUGAUUUGGCAGCUUACAUGUGGUGUUGGGCCUACGGGUGCACAGAAGUCAAGAAUUGAGGUUUAGGAACCUCCACCCAGAUUUCAGAGGAUGUACAGAAACCCCUGGAUGUGCAGGCAGAAGUGUGCUGCAGGGGUAGAGCCCUCAUGGAGAACCUCUGUUGGGCAAUACGAAAGGGAAAUGUGGGGUUGGAGCCUCCACACAGAGUCCCCAGUGGGGCACUGCCUAGUGGAGCUAUGAGAAUUGGGACACCAUUCUCCAGACCCUAGAAUGGUAGAUCUACUGGCAGCUUGCACCAUGUGCCUGGAAAAGUCACAGACACUCAAUGCCGGCCUGUGAAAGCAGCCAGGAGGGGGCGGUACCCUGCAAAGCCACAGGGGCAGAGCUGCCUAAGGCUGUGGGAACUCAUCUCUUGCAUCAGCGUGACCUGGAUAUAAGACAUGGAGUCAAAGGAAAUCAUUUUGGAACUUUAAGGUUUAAUGACUGUCCUAUUGGAUUUGACUUGCAUGGGGCCUCUAGCCCUUUGGCUUUGGCCAAUUUCUCUCCUUUGGAAUGCAUGUAUUUACCCAAUGGCUCUACCCCAUUGCAUCUAGGAAGUAACUAACUUUCUUUUUAUUUUACAGGCUCAUAGGUGGAAGGGUUUGCCUUGUCUCAGAUGAGACUUUGAACUCGGACUUUUGGGUUAAUGCUAGAAUGAGUUAAAACUUUGGGGAACCUUUGGGAAGGCAUGGUUGUGUUUUAAAACAUGAGGACAUGUGAUUUGGGAGGGGCCAGAGGUGGAAUGAUAUGAUUUGGGAGGGGCCAGAGGUGGAAUGAUAUGGUUUGGGUGUGUCCUCACCCAAAUCUAAUCUUGAAUUGUAAUCCCACGUGUCAUGGGAGGGACCCAGUGGGAGGUAAUUGAAUCAUGGGGGUGGUUUCCUCCAUGCUGUUCUUGUGAGAAUGAGUUCUCACGAGAUCUAAUGGUUUUAUAAGUGUCUGGCAUUUCCCUUGCUGGCAUUCCCCUUGCUGGCAUUCUCUCUCUCCUGCCACCCUGUGAAGAGGUGCCUUCCUCCAUGAUUGUAAGUUUCCUGAGGCCUCUCCAGCCAUACAGAAGUACGAGUCAAUUAAACCAUUUUUCUUCAUAAAUUACCCAGUUUCAGGUAUUUCUUCAUAGCAGUGUGAGAACAGACUAAUACAGUGUUACUUCAUAAAUUGCUUACUAAUCGAAAAGGGGAAAAUGUAUUAAUACCUUUAAGAUAGAAAGAUCUGACAAGUAGACAAACUUAACGUUGCAAGUAAUAGAACAUAAUAUUUUGUUUCUCCUCUGCUAUGCAGUAUAAAGUACCUAAAUCAUUACCAACAAACUAUGCUUACCAAAAAUGUUUAUUCUAAAUAAAGCAUCUACUGUGGUUCUCAUUUAUAUAGUAAGUAUAGGAAUUAGAGAAACAAAUGAAGUAGCACCAUUAUGCAUCAAUCAGACAAAUCCAUGAUUUGGGACAUUCUCUAAGUCAACUAAUUUGGCUCUUUUAGAAAGUGAAAGUCAAGAGAAAAUAAAAAUGUAGGAGGCAUGGCAUGGUGGCUCACACCUGUAAUCCCAACACUUAGGGAGGCAGAGGUGGGUGGAUCACUUAAGGCUGGGAGUUUCAGAUCAACCUGGGCAACAUAGUGAGAACUCGUUCUCUUAAACAACAACAACAACAAUAAACUCUUGCCAGCAGAGGUGUGCUAUUAAAAAAAAAAAAAAAGUAAGAGAACUAUCUGGAUUAAAAAUGAUUUCAGAGAAAUAAUCUUUAUUGCAAUAUGAGAAUUUUUCUUUGAAUACUGAAGUUGUUUUUAAAGAUAUAAAAUUUAUUUUGAUGAAAAUUGAGGAAACUUUAAUAUGGACUGAAUCAGAUGACAUGAAAUUAUUAUUAAUUUUUAACAAUUGUGAUAAUGGUAUUGUACUUAUGUAGAAGCAUGUCCUUAUUAGGAUAUGUGUGCUGAAUGUAGGCUUUAAUUGCUGCAAAAGUCUUCCUCAUGUAAAGUCAAAAUUUUUUAGGUACUAACUAUUGGUCUUCAUUCCGCCAACUGGAGUUAAAAGCAUCAGUUGAUACUGUCACAAGAAAAUUAUCUUCUUUGUAUUAGUAAAAUAAUUAAAAUUAAAAUGUAUAUAUACAAGGCAGAGAAUUACAAAAUUUGGGUAUCAAUACUACUAUAUUAAUUUUAUGCUACUAUAGUAUAUGCCCUUUUAGAUGUUUAAUACCUGCUAACAGAUACGUUUAGGUAGAAAUGAUGUAUAUCAGCUAUUUCUCACCAUUUAGAUGCCAUGAAGUUGCUGUGAAUUAAAUAAACGUUUGUUUGGUAAACUGCAGUAACCUAUUUUAAAGUGUUCUUUAAAAGGUAUGUAUAGGCCAGGC